UACGUAGGAGGCGAGCGUUGUCCGGAAUUACUGGGCGUAAAGAGCUCGUAGGCGGUCUGUCGCGUCUGCUGUGAAAACUCGGGGCUUAACCCCGGGCCUGCAGUGGGUACGGGCAGACUAGAGUGCGGUAGGGGAGACUGGAAUUCCUGGUGUAGCGGUGAAAUGCGCAGAUAUCAGGAGGAACACCGGUGGCGAAGGCGGGUCUCUGGGCCGUAACUGACGCUGAGGAGCGAAAGCGUGGGGAGCGAACAGG
rnacentral:rRNA from 1 species